rnacentral:rRNA from 1 species
AGAGAUGUGUGAUGACGCAUAUCAAUAAGCGGAGGAAAAGAAACUAACAAGGAUUCCCUUAGUAACGGCGAGUGAAGCGGGAAGAGCUCAUAUUUGAAAUCUUCAAGGUUUUACCUUGACGAAUUGUAGUUUAAAGAAGUGUUUUCUGUUGGAGUUUUGGUAAAAGUUCUUUGGAAUAGGACAUCAUAGAGGGUGAGAAUCCCGUAUUUGACCAUUACUUUCCAGCUGUGUGAUACACUUUCAAAGAGUCGGAUUGUUUGGGAAUGCAGUCCAAAAUGGGUGGUAAAUUUCAUCUAAAGCUAAAUAUUGGCGAGAGACCGAUAGCGAACAAGUACCGUGAGGGAAAGAUGAAAAGAACUUUGAAAAGAGAGUUAAACAGUACGUGAAAUUGUCAAAAGGGAAGCGUUUGACACCAGUGUUGUUUUUCCGAAAAUCAAUUACGAAUGUUUUGUUUUUGAGAAGUUAUGACUUCAUCGGCUUGCUUCUCUCUCUACGAAACUUUCUUAAUGCACUUUUCGGUUAACAAGUCAACAUCAAUUUCUUUUGUUGUAAAAGGGUAUGAGGAAGGUGGCUUUCUUUUCGGAGAAAGUGUUUAUAGCCUUGUACCUCUGCAAUCGGAGAGAUUGAGGUCUGCAGCGUAGAUCCUUCGGGGUUAGAUACAUUUGUGCUAAGUUAUAGCUUUUCAUAGACAACUUGUUGACUAUGUUAAGUCUUGUAGCUUACUCGCUUAUGCUAUUUUACCUACGCUUAGGAUGUUGAGUCGUAGAGCACGCAG